rnacentral:rRNA from 1 species
AACAGGAUUAGAUACCCUGGUAGUCCACGCCGUAAACUAUGGAUGCUAGCUGUAAGAGGUAUCGACCCCUCUUGUAGCGAAGCUAACGCGUUAAGCAUCCCGCCUGUGGAGUACGGUCGCAAGACUAAAACAUAAAGGAAUUGACGGGGACCCGCACAAGCGGUGGAGCGUGUUGUUUAAUUCGAUGGUAAACGAAGAACCUUACCCAGGUUUGACAUCCUUGGAAUUUUGCCGAAAGGCGAGAGUGCUUUAUUGAGCCAAGUGACAGGUGUUGCAUGGCCGUCGUCAGCUCGUGUCGUGAGAUGUUUGGUUAAGUCCAUCAACGAGCGCAACCCUUAUGGUCUGUUGUAUUUCUCAGGCCAGACUGCCCUGGUAACAGGGAGGAAGGGGGGGAUGAUGUCAGGUCAGUAUUACCCUUACAUCUGGGGCUACAAACACGCUACAAUGGCCGGUACAAAGGGCUGCCAAGUCGCGAGACGGAGCAAAUCCCAUCAAAGCCGGUCCCAGUUCGGAUAAGAGGCUGAAACUCGCCUCUUUGAAGUCGGAAUCGCUAGUAACGGUAGGUCAGCUAUACUACCGUGAAUACGUUCCCGGGUCUUGUACACACCGCCCGUCAAACCAUGAAAGUCGCCAAUACCUGACGUGUGAGCUUCGCCUCGCCCUAAGGUAGGGGAGAUGAUUGGGGUUAAGUCGUAACAAGGUAACC